AUAGCGAUUUUCCUUACUGAGGAGUUGGCAACACUGGUCACACACUGAGCGCUGUGAGCGGGAGCACUGGAGAGUCAGAGGCUGCAAAGGAUUCUGUGUCUAGCUACACAAGAGAGUUCUUAACGUGCGACGCGUGUAUGUUUAAUGGUCACGUGCUGUGAGAGGGACUGAAGAGCGGGUUGGCAGGGGAGAUCACUUGCUGUGAGAUUCCUGCGUGUGUACUUGUCUUAGCAGUGGCUGUGUGGAGAAACCGAAACAGGUCACUACUGUUGUCUAUACUGUUUGAAUUUAACGUGUACAUAUGAUAGUUAUUGUUCUCUCAGACCCUGAAAGACAGUUUUAGGCUGAGCCAGUGGAAUAGUUAAAUUUUGCCGUUUCACUCAAAACUACAGAAUUAAAACUGUGCUCCUCCGAGUACAGUAGGAGAAUAAAAAAGCCCACAGAAGAGUAUUUCCUGUGUCCUGUCUCAUUCCCCAUGACCGGGCCACAUAGUUUGGUGUCAGAAGUGGGAUUCUCAGUUUAGUUUUGAGUUUCAGUAUAGAGAGACACAGUGAGUGGGGCUUUAUAGACAACAGUAGUGGCUGAGAAGAUCCCAGUCCUUCCCAGAGGGCGGCAACUGCAGUGUGGAUAUCCUGAGGUGGUUCUGUGCAGUGGCAGUUGGUAGAACAGGAGCCUGCUUCAGCCGUUGGACGAGGAGGGCGCCUGACACAGAUUUUGGACUGUUGAAUCUCAUCUACAAGUGACUGUGGGAAUCUGCUGCAGUAAAGACUCAGAGACAUUGCAGUAUGUCCCAAGAGGACGAGGGGGAAGGUCCUUCAGGGGCCGCAGCUAUCCCCACUGAAGACAGUUAAGCUGCCUUUUUGCUUGACAGUGCAGGUAACCCGUUGGUGCAGCUGCAAACACAGAUCAACGAACUGAGUAGGAAACAUGAUGCUGUUAUGUCUAGUAUUGCUAACAUGGGUAAUGUUCCAACCAGAUCUGUUGUGUACAUUCCAAGAGAAAAGGUGAUUGUACCUUUUAGUGGGGAACCAGCAAAAGAUGCUUACACUGUUGAUGAAUUUAUAGAAGAGGUGGAAAGAGCAAUAAGAACUAGGGGUCUGCGUGGAGAGGAUCAAACCGACUUUAUCCUCUCACAGCUGAAAGGGUCUGCCCUAGAGGAAGUUAAGUUAUGUAUGGCAGGCCAGGUGAAGCAACCAAGUGAUCUCUUUUCAUAUUUGAGGGAGGCAUUUAGAGACAAACGCACCACACCACAGCUCUUGCAUGCUUUCUAUGCACGCCGCCAACUAGAUGGGGAAGACCUACGAGAAGGAUACUGUUGCUCAAUGCUGCAAUACAACAGUCCCCUAAUGUAGUACCCAACACACAGCUGGCACUUCGGGAUCAGUUCAUUGAAGGUGUGCAUGCCCCAAAUCUUCGGCGUGAACUACGUAGGCUCACUAGAGAGAAGCCUGAGUGUAGUCUCUUUGAUGUUAGAGAGGAGGCAAUCAUGUGGACUAUGGAAGAUCGUCCACGCAGCACUAAUGUAGCAAGACAUAGAAAUAUAGUGAGUGACAGGCCAGAUGAAAGCUGUGAAAAGACAACCUCCACAAGUGAUGUACAGACAGACUUUACCAUGGCUCUGCAAGAGAUGGUUAAAAUAAUCACACAACAGGGUAAGGCAAUAGGGGAGUUAACUAAUGCAGUGAGGGAGCUCACAACACAGACUGCCAGUUCCAAAGACAGUAGAGGUGUUAAAGCUAAGCCCAAGCCUAAGUACACUAGAGAGGGUCAGCCCAUUUGUCUCCGAUGUGAAGGGGUGGGACAUAU